GACGAACGCUGGCGGCGUGCCUAAUACAUGCAAGUCGAGCGAAGUUUUUCUGGUGCUUGCACUAGAAACACUUAGCGGCGCACGGGUGAGUAACACGUAAACAACCUGCCUCAUAGACUGGGACAACUAUUGGAAACGAUAGCUAAUACCGGAUAACGGCAUUAACUGCAUGGUUGAUGUUUAAAAGUUGGUUUUGCUAACACUAUGAGAUGGCUUUGCGGUGCAUUAGCUAGUUGGUGGGGUAAAGGCCUACCAAGGCGACGAUGCAUAGCCGACCUGAGAGGGUGAUCGGCCACACUGGGACUGAGACACGGCCCAGACUCCUACGGGAGGCAGCAGUAGGGAAUCUUCCGCAAUGGGCGAAAGCCUGACGGAGCAACGCCGCGUGAGUGAAGAAGGAUUUCGGUUCGUAAAGCUCUGUUGUUAGGGAACAAUGAUUGUGUAGUAACUAUACACAGUAGAGACGGUACCUAACCAGAAAGCCACGGCUAACUACGUG
rnacentral:rRNA from 1 species